GGCUGCAGCGAGGGGAGGAGUGAACAAAGUGCAGGCAAGACGGACAGUUCUCUGUUCUCGUAGUGGAUCAGAACCUACAAGAUCAAAGGAGGAUAUUGCGGGAUUCACACUCGGACAGAUGAUCAUAAGUGUGGUUAUCCGUGGUGGAGAGAGGCUGAUGCUACCAUCAAAGGCUUUGAAGCUUUUGUGGUGGAGCAGGACCUGCAAGGAAAGGUGACGACGGCAUUUGUGGGAAAAAAGGGAAAAAAAUCAGUAGGACAAACUUUACCAAAAUCACCCUUUGUUUUCAGAAAAAAAAAGGGAUUGAACAGCGUGAAGGCGAGUAAAUAAUGACUGAAAUUAUAUAUUUGAUUGAACCAGCAACCUUCUGGGUCCGUGUCCUUUUGCGUCAUUUUUUAAUCAGAGAUGAAAUAUGAAAAAAUGCGGUUUCUUCCUUUUUUAUUUUAACACUGAUGAAUAGAAUUAGCAGAUACAAGAUGAUUUUCCUCAUGCAAGAUUAUAAUUUUAUUAAAAAUAAUAUAAAUGAUACAACUUGUUUUUUAAUAUGUAAAAAUGCUAAAUUUAAUUUCUACUGUUUUUGCGUCAUACAGAUGCUAAAAACCUUUUCCUCUGGCGUCAAUAGAAUAUGACUCCUAUCAAAGUGCCUAAAAAGAAGACAUUGAUUAAUUUUCAUUCUAAUUCUUUAAAUUAUUAUGUUUUUACAAUUAUAUUUUAACCUAAACAUGACCAUUUCUAAACUUUAGCUCUUAUUAGCGCUGCAACACAUAUUGAGUUCCCGCUUGCAAUAUAGUCUCAAUCCCAUUCUCGCUCUGUUUUAUAUGAAUAAAGGCCAAAACGACAUCUAAAUUACUGUAACUUUUUUGGUGUUUUAUAUUGUUUUAGAUCGAGAAAUUGUUUAUGAUUAGGAUUUGCUUUAUAGGCUAUAGCCUACGCUGGUGUCCUGCUGUUCAAAUUGAAAAUACCCCAACAUAUGUCAUGAUGACAAAAUUAUACCCCAAUAUGCAAUUUUCAUGAAGUAAAAAAUCCCAUGCCCUUUGCCUCAGUGGAGGUUUGACAUGAAAUGUUUCUCAAUUCUUCAUUGAAAGCAAUGCAUAUGGCUGCGCUGCUGGGACAUUAAUGCUUUACGUGGCUUAAUCCUACUAAAACAACCAGGGAGAAACUAAUUUCUCACACAUUUUCUUGUCAUCAACAGCAUCUAAGACUAAGACGAUGGCAACAUAAACAAUGUGGCAGGACAGUAUUUUUAUAUUUAGCAUUUCUAACGGUUUUCUAUAAUGCUGAAUGUAUAAAUUAACAUUUCUUCGACUUUAAUCUGUCCAUUUUUAAUUUUAGUUUAUAAAGAUGCAAAACGUAAUGAAUAAAAAUCUAAAAAGAAGCCAAUAUUUAUUUUGUGCAUAUGAAAUUUGUGUAUUCGGUUUUAAUUUAAAUUUUGGUAUUCAACAUAGCAUUUAAGAAUACAACCACCGUUAAUUUUUUGUUUUUCUCGACGUGGUUAAAAAACUAAAAAGGGAUGGACACAAAAGUACACGGACCCUUCUGCUUACCAGUUCAGUGGUUUAACCCACUACACCACAAAAGUAAUAAAGCUACAACAAAAAUGGCACGUAAAAAUAUGAAAUGAAAAAUGGCAAGAAACAGAAUACUGUCAUGAAUUGCAAAGCGUUUUAGCCUGUUUAAUUGUUUUACAGGUAGACAUGCUCAUGGAGAGAGCAUGGAUGUGAGUGAGGUUUAGUGGGGUGAGUGUAACAGACAUAGGCUGGUAAGUGCUGUGCAUGUAAAACCUCACUCCCCUGAUCUCAAGGGAUGCUCUAGCAACUGAAGCUAGGGGUUGCAGCCUUUAGCCUCCUUUUUAGAGCGUCCAACUCCCAUGCAGAAGGGCUCGGGUUCGUGUCCCGCUUGGAGUGGGCAGGUGCGAAUGGGAGGGGCUACACAGACACAGCAGCAAUCAGAUUGUCCCGCACAUCUUAUCCCACUCUUGCUUCAAAGUUGUGGCGUCCAGGGGAGCGACAUCAUGGUCUUCCUCAUCCUCUGGAUCAACAAUGUCCCCAUUGAGAAGAGCAGCAAUGAGGGACAUUAUGGACAGCAAAGACCGGCGAAGGUGUUUACGGAGGUCAGCUGCUUCAUCAAAAUAAAGCUGCAGAAUUGGCACAACUGUGUUGAGAUGGCAGUAGGUGUAAAUAGGUGAUUGUUAGAACAAUAAGUUUGAACAAAGCUUUGUUUCAUGUGUUGUUGACUUGUGUAUGUAUUUAUUUAUUGUGAUGGCUACUUUUAUUCAUUCUUUUACUCAUUUAUGUGUCCUAUGGUUGUCAGUAAAUAAAAUAUAAAUAUUUUAUAAAUUCUUGCAUUAAUUCAUUGCUUGACUGAAAAUUGAGAUAUAUUCACAUCAGCUGCAUUUGUCUAUUAUGUAUUCAUGCAUAGCUAUGUCAUAUGACAAAACUUUACAUUUUGCUUGUUUCUUGUUUUACUAAAAAAAGUUUAAAAAAAAAGUUUUAAAAAAGU